rnacentral:rRNA from 1 species
UGGGGAAUAUUGCGCAAUGGGCGAAAGCCUGACGCAGCGACGCCGCGUGAGGGAUGAAGGUCUUCGGAUCGUAAACCUCUGUCAGCAGGGAAGAAACUUUUCUGUGCUAAUCAACAGAGAAUUGACGGUACCCGCAAAGGAAGCACCGGCUAACUCCGUGCC